rnacentral:rRNA from 1 species
GACGAACGCUGGCGGCGUGCUUAACACAUGCAAGUCGAACGGAAAGGCCCUGCUUUUGUGGGGUGCUCGAGUGGCGAACGGGUGAGUAACACGUGAGUAACCUGCCCUUGACUUUGGGAUAACUUCAGGAAACUGGGGCUAAUACCGGAUAGGAGCUCCUGCUGCAUGGUGGGGGUUGGAAAGUUUCGGCGGUUGGGGAUGGACUCGCGGCUUAUCAGCUUGUUGGUGGGGUAGUGGCUUACCAAGGCUUUGACGGGUAGCCGGCCUGAGAGGGUGACCGGCCACAUUGGGACUGAGAUACGGCCCAGACUCCUACGGGAGGCAGCAGUUGGGAAUAUUGCACAAUGGGCGGAAGCCUGAUGCAGCAACGCCGCGUGCGGGAUGACGGCCUUCGGGUUGUAAACCGCUUUCGCCUGUGACGAAGCGUGAGUGACGGUAAUGGGUAAAGAAGCACCGGCUAACUACGUGCCAGCAGCCGCGGUGAUACGUAGGGUGCGAGCGUUGUCCGGAUUUAUUGGGCGUAAAGGGCUCGUAGGUGGUUGAUCGCGUCGGAAGUGUAAUCUUGGGGCUUAACCCUGAGCGUGCUUUCGAUACGGGUUGACUUGAGGAAGGUAGGGGAGAAUGGAAUUCCUGGUGGAGCGGUGGAAUGCGCAGAUAUCAGGAGGAACACCAGUGGCGAAGGCGGUUCUCUGGGCCCUUCCUGACGCUGAGGAGCGAAAGCGUGGGGAGCGAACAGGCUUAGAUACCCUGGUAGUCCACGCUGUAAACGGUGGGUACUAGGUGUGGGGUCCAUUCCACGGGUUCCGUGCCGUAGCUAACGCUUUAAGUACCCCGCCUGGGGAGUACGGCCGCAAGGCUAAAACUCAAAGGAAUUGACGGGGCCCCGCACAAGCGGCGGAGCAUGCGGAUUAAUUCGAUGCAACGCGUAGAACCUUACCUGGGUUUGACAUGGAUCGGGAGCGCUCAGAGAUGGGUGUGCCUCUUUUGGGGUCGGUUCACAGGUGGUGCAUGGCUGUCGUCAGCUCGUGUCGUGAGAUGUUGGGUUAAGUCCCGCAACGAGCGCAACCCUUGUUCACUGUUGCCAGCACGUUAUGGUGGGGACUCAGUGGAGACCGCCGGGGUCAACUCGGAGGAAGGUGGGGAUGACGUCAAGUCAUCAUGCCCCUUAUGUCCAGGGCUUCACGCAUGCUACAAUGGCUGGUACAGAGAGUGGCGAGCCUGUGAGGGUGAGCGAAUCUCGGAAAGCCGGUCUCAGUUCGGAUUGGGGUCUGCAACUCGACCUCAUGAAGUCGGAGUCGCUAGUAAUCGCAGAUCAGCAACGCUGCGGUGAAUACGUUCCCGGGGCU